UCGACGCUUCCUUCGGUGAAAGUGGCGAACGGGUGAGUAAUACAUAAGUAACCUGGCAUCUACAGGGGGAUAACUGAUGGAAACGUCAGCUAAGACCGCAUAGGUGUAGAGAUCGCAUGAACUCUAUAUGAAAAGUGCUACGGGACUGGUAGAUGAUGGACUUAUGGCGCAUUAGCUGGUUGGUAGGGUAACGGCCUACCAAGGCGACGAUGCGUAGCCGACCUGAGAGGGUGACCGGCCACACUGGGACUGAGACACGGCCCAGACUCCUACGGGAGGCAGCAGUAGGGAAUUUUCGGCAAUGGGGGAAACCCUGACCGAGCAACGCCGCGUGAAGGAAGAAGUAAUUCGUUAUGUAAACUUCUGUCAUAGAGGAAGAACGGUGGAUAUAGGGAAUGAUAUCCAAGUGACGGUACUCUAUAAGAAAGCCACGGCUAACUACGUGCCAGCAGCCGCGGUAAUACGUAGGUGGCGAGCGUUAUCCGGAAUUAUUGGGCGUAAAGAGGGAGCAGGCGGCACUAAGGGUCUGUGGUGAAAGAUCGAAGCUUAACUUCGGUAAGCCAUGGAAACCGUAGAGCUAGAGUGUGUGAGAGGAUCGUGGAAUUCCAUGUGUAGCGGUGAAAUGCGUAGAUAUAUGGAGGAACACCAGUGGCGAAGGCGACGAUCUGGCGCAUAACUGGCGCUCAGUCCCGAAAGCGUGGGGAGCAAAUAGGAUUAGAUACCCUAGUAGUCCACGCCGUAAACGAUGAGUACUAAGUGUUGGGAGUCAAAUCUC
rnacentral:rRNA from 1 species